UACGUAGGGUGCAAGCGUUGUCCGGAAUUAUUGGGCGUAAAGGGCGCGUAGGCGGCGUGACAAGUCACUUGUGAAAUCUCUGGGCUUAACCCAGAACGGCCAAGUGAAACUGUUGUGCUAGAGUGCAGAAGGGGCAAUCGGAAUUCUCGGUGUAGCGGUGAAAUGCGUAGAUAUCGAGAGGAACACCAGAGGUGAAGACGGGUUGCUGGGCUGACACUGACGCUGAGGCGCGAAAGCCAGGGGAGCAAACGGG
rnacentral:rRNA from 1 species